rnacentral:rRNA from 1 species
CUCAGGGAGGUAGUGACAAGAAAUAACAACACUGGAAAUUUUAUUUCUAGUGAUUGGAAUGAUGGGAAUUUAAACCCCUUUCAGGGUAACAAUUGGAGGGCAAGUCUGGUGCCAGCAGCCGCGGUAAUUCCAGCUCCAAUAGCGUAUAUUAAAGUUGUUGCAGUUAAAAAGCUCGUAGUUGGAUGUCUGCUGGAAGCAAUCAGUCCGCCCUAUUUGUAGGGUGUGCACUUGAUGAAUUCUGGCAUCUAUGUCCUAAUGUGAUAGAUACGGCGGUGUAUAUGGGUUAAUCCUAUAUACCCGUUUUUGUAUAUUAUAUUGGGAUAAUACCGUUACUUUGAGAAAAUUAGAGUGUUUGAAGCAGGCUAAUUGCCUUGAAUACUGCAGCAUGGAAUAACAAUAUAGGAUUUCGGUUCUAUUUUGUUGGUUUCUAGGACUGAAAUAAUGAUUAAUAGGGACAGUUGGGGGCAUUCGUAUUUAACUGUCAGAGGUGAAAUUCUUAGAUUUGUUAAAGACGAACUACUGCGAAAGCAUUUGCCAAAGAUGUUUUCAUUAAUCAAGAACGAAAGUUAGGGGCUCGAAGACGAUCAGAUACCGUCGUAGUCUUAACCAUAAACUAUGCCGACUAGAGAUAGGAAACUGUCAUUUUUCUGACUU